GGCUGAGUGGGCUUUGAAGCGCCCGGCUGCCUGGGCCACUGCUCCUCCUAGCGCAGGCGGUGAGGCGUGAUCCCUGGCCGUCACCACCCACCGGCCAGUGGCCGCGAGCUCAAACAAUGAGGAACUGAGGAUUAUAAUCACGUACUUGCACAAGGGAUAUUUGGACACAGAGAUACAGAUGAAGGGAAGACACGGUAAAGACGCAGGGGGAGUACAGGCCAAAGAGAAGGAAGCGUGGGACAGAACCUUCCCUCACAGCCCUCAGAAGGUACCAAUGCUGCCAGCACCUUGGUCUUGGACUUCCAUCCUCCAGAACUGUGAGACAACAAACUUCUGUCAUUUACGCCACCUACUCUGUGGCACUUUGUUACAGUGGGCCUAGCAAACCAAUAUAGGAUAUACUGCUACACCGGGCUCUGGAUUUACUGAUUCAUUACGACGAAACCGGGCUCUUCCCGGUGAUAUUGUUUUGUUUUGUUUUGUUUCUUAAUGUUUACUUAUUUUUGAGAGAGAGAGAGAGAGAGAGAGACAGAGACAGAGACAGAGCAUGAGUGGGGGAGAAGCAGAUUGAG